CCAUCGGCCCGGCGUUUGAGCCAAUCAGCGAUCAGCUUUGUAGAACGUACUUGUUUAAAUCAAGAAACUUAGACGAGGUAGACGAUUAGCCACGAAGAGCAAGAAACCCAAAGAAAAAUGUUUAUGAAGAAAACACUGAGAUACCUCCUCGUUUUUGUUGAGAUAAGACCAGACGAAGCUCCCUGUCGAUCAGGAAUGUGGACACAAGAAUCUAAGUGGAAUGAUGCUGUGGACUUUCUCAAGCUCACUGACCUGGAGGCUAGCUUCUUCUUUCCUCAAGCCUGAAGAUGGGAGAGUUCAAGGACGUGGUUAGGCAGGAUGUUCGAGCCAUUGUGAACAUGAAUAAGAAAACGUAUCCCACCAGCAAACAUUUUCGCUUCAUAAUGGGUGGAAGAACUCCAACUGAAUAGCUGGCUAUGCCUGCUUCCUUCUUCCUAUCAUCGUGACCCAAAUCCUGCCUCCAUUAUGCUCUAUCCAAAUUCUUUCUGGGGACCUGAACACCAGCAUGCAGGUUCCUACACAGAUGGACGAGGUGUUGUACCAGAACAUCAUGUCAGAAGUAAUGGUGAACGACAUGAGCUGCACAUCUUCCACAGCACGGACAUUGAAGACCAUUGUGUACCUCGGGAAGACCUCUGGAAGCUCUACAGCUAUACUGUGAGCUUAUUGCUGUGAAACUGGGUCACCGAAUCCAAGCUAACUGCCGCUGCCCUCCCCUGCACAGACGCAAGCCAAAAACGUUGCGAGAACUACAAGAAACAGAAGGGGGGCGUCACCUUCAUCUACACAGACAUUUGGUGUUGGCUGCGGGCCACGGCUCAGUUUCUCCCUCGAUCAACCUCCUCCAAGUUCAAUCCUCCUCCCCUGCAGUGACCUCUGAAGGUUUCAUGCUGACUGAAGUCAUGCAACGAUCACGCCACAUCCAACCAGCGCUGCACGGUGGGAGUGUAAAACAUACUUAGAUGAGAGUUGUUGCUGAGGGAGUCACUCCAUCACCUCCGUGGCAACCUCCAAGGUUCCAGCCCAUGAAUGGUAAGCACCUUUGGGUGGAGCCGACCCUGGCCGAGGGGAGCAGGGGCCGGGAUGGACAGGGAGCACAGGGCCACCGCUUACCAUGACCGGGACAGACAAAGUGGAGAGAACAGAGCACUUGCUUUACAGCUGACUGACAGCAGGUUAAUUGAUUGAACCCUCCCCAGUGCUGCUCACUGGAGAGCGUUUCCCCCUCUAUCUCAAUUCACCAUCUAAGACAAAGACAUUCAUACUGAUCUUUGGCAAGCAGAUGCUCAUGGAAAUGCACUAGGACUGAUGACAUAAUAGUUCCUGUAUAAUAUUAAAAGUGUGUAUUCUCUAGUGUGUUUGUGCUACAUUCGUUGCAGAGAAUCAGUUGUUGAUCUCAACAACAAACCUGUAGUAGAUAUCAGACUUCCACCUUUAGAUGUUAUUUUAACUGGAAAAAAACAUUUUCUCGCUUUGCAUAUUGCAGAACAUUAUUAAAACUUCAGAUGUUUAUUCAACAUUUUAGUAGUUAUCACACUCUGUGGGAAAAUAAGUUAUUUUGAUGUAGUUGUGCAGCUUUCACUUUUUUUGACAAUGUAGCUUCAAUAGUAUUGUUGAACCUACUCCUGUUGGCAGCACAGCAGUGCUCCAUCAUGCAUCAAAAGUUGUCGGGGCGGCUGUGGCUUAGAGGUAGCGUGGGUCGUCCACUAAUCGGACGGUCAGCGGUUCAAUCCCAGCUUCCCCCAGCCCACGCGUCAAAGUGUCCUUGGGCAAGAUACCCCAAGUUGCUCCAGAGGGCUGUGCCUUCGGUGUGUGAAUAAGUUGUUUGUUUUUUUUCUUUGGACUGGCAGUUGGCACGUGCCAUCAGUGUGUAAAUUGGGUGAAUGUGAUAUGUAAUGCAAGGCCCUUUGAGUAGUCAGAAGCCUAGAAAGGCGCUAUACAAGUACAGUCCAUUUUACCAUUCAAAAGGAUAUACUUAUCAGUAUGUUACAGAUAAAAAUAAAAACAUGAAAGACCUUUCCAGGCCUAUAUCCUGAUGCUGGGAAUGGCUUUCAUUUCUGAGGCUCAGAAACAUUGCUUUCACUUAAGCUGCCGGUGGAUGGUGUGAUGGCGAGCCGUUUGGUCUUCUCCCAUGAUUGUGCCAUAUAUCUAUCGGAAAUUUUUUCCAUUACCCUGGAAGCACGACUCAUUGACCUGCGACCCUGUGGUUCAACUGACAAUCAUCAUCACACCUUGAAGUCAAAUACUCUCAGCAAAUAAUGUAAACAACUAAAAUAUUUAUUAACUGAAGAUUUUUUUUUUUUUUUUACAGCAAACUGUUAUCACGACACAGUCUUCAAGUCAAAUGACACUUAACCCUUUGAGUACAAUUAGGUUGGCCACUCUGAGCGGGAGAAUUAACAAUGAACGGACCUGGGGGGGAUUCCUCUGCCGUGGUCCUCUAUCAAAAACAUGAACAAGCACAUCAGGAUCUAGAAAGUCCAAAACUGCUUAUUUUAAAAAGUCAGACAUUAAAGGAGAAAAACAAUGGCUUGCUUUUUUUUUUUUUAGUAGGAACUGAA